rnacentral:sRNA from 1 species
GGGCUGAAUAAAUCGAAAAAAUAAAAAAAAGUUUUUAAAAAUUGCCUCUAUAUUACGUUGAAAAUUAUUAAUUCCAAACAUAAUCUUAUGAGAUGUAUUCAUUUCAUCAAUGAUUGAAAUUUGGACUUAAGUCUGAAAAUGUUUCAUGAUCCUGCGGCCUGUUUAAUGUGUAUAUACAUGUGAUGUGUUUAUGCUAAAUAUACUCUGUUUUUGCAUUGCUUAAAGAGUGAAGCUAUAAGCUAUCGGUGUAUAAUUAUGUAGAAUGUUAAGAGUAUAAACUUCUUUAGAAUUUUUCUCUCCAUCUCUAUUAUAAGCUUUUUGCAUGAGUGUACAUUAUGAAAAAUUCACAAAAAACAAAUAAAACUGCAUUUGG